ensembl:lncRNA SCN1A-AS1 SCN1A and SCN9A antisense RNA 1
AACGAAGCACCAGUGCUGGGGAGCUCUCUGAAUGUCAUCACCAGCAAGAGCAAGAAGUAUUGGCAGCAGCAGGCAGCCAGGCAGGCUGGGAGUUUGCAUGGAAAUCAUGAAGUCUUUCUUGUCUUCCUCUUUUGAAAUAUUUUGGAAGGCGAGUUAAGAAUAGCUCAGAAACUGGUCUCAUUCUUUUUGUGGGAAGAAUGACCAGAAGCAUAAAAGCUAAGUCUUCCAGCAAGUGCAAGACACCUCUUUUGGUGUUUGCAGUAAACCUAACAAGAAUGAAUUGCUAUCAGUAAAGUCCUGUACCAUGACACCUAAAAGGAAGGAAAUGGUAAAGCAAAGUAAUAACUCAAAGACAGUCACCGAGGGCUUUUGUCCACCUUUAACUCAUUGUGGAACUUGACAUCAUCAGACAGUAAAUCAAGAGGUACUGACAACUGAGACUGAGUGAUGGUCCCUGCCUAGGAUUUGGAAUCUUUGCAUGAAAUAGGGACUCUAGCCACCAGCGACAAAGAAGUCAGGGAGACUGCGGUCUCUAGGAAGCACUUCCAGGAAACAGGAAUUCAGGCAAAGUUGGACAUUCCAAAGAUGGCGUAGAUGAACAUGACCAGGAAGAGCAGGAGGCCGAUGUUAAACAACGCAGGAAGGGACAUCAUCAAAGCAAAGAGCAGCGUGCGGAUCCCCUUUGCUCCUUUGACUAGACGUAGGAUUCGGCCAAUCCUGGCAAGACGGAUCACUCGGAACAGGGUAGCAGAGAUCUCUGGAGGUGAAACAUUGCUCUGAACUGGCAUUGAUUCUAGCCCAGCUCUUGUAGACCAAUUACCAACUUCUCCAUCUCCCUCCAGUGCCUGGAACUGGACCUGGCACACAGGCAAAGGGUUAUCAACUGUGCUGCACUCUGAGGAGCUUGACCGGUUUAAUCUCUAGAAAGGAAUUCACCACCCCACCAGCACGCGGAACACAAUCAGGAAGGAGUGGAAGAAGUCGUUCAUGUGCCACCGUGGGAGCGUACAGUCAUCAUUGAUCUUGCAGACACAUUCUUUGUAGCUCUUACCAAAGAGCUGCAUGCCGACCACAGCAAAAAUGAAGACGAUGAUGGCCAACACUAAGCCUUUAGACUAAAAAGAAAACAAAUAUUACAUACCCUGAAUCUGUGCUGAAACCACAAAGGAGAGCAUCUUUGGAUCCUUCCAAGUAAUAAAAAUAUUCUGUUGAAGAAGAAUUUGAACAGUUAUAACAUCACAGACUUUAAUCUGUGAUUGUGAUAAAGGAGGUCAAAUUAAAAAAUCUGAUUAUUGGGAGACUUUUGGAGUAAUCAUGGAAGAAAGACUAUGAAAUCAGAUAUUCUUGGAUUUGAAUGUUGCUUCUAUCCCUUCUUAAGUGGCGUAAUACAGGGUUCCAGAACCGAGAUGUGAAAAUAGACACAGGCUGGAGUGCAGCGGCAUGAUCGCAUCUCACUGCAGCCUCAACCUCCUGGGUUCAAGUGAUUCUCCCAUCUCGCCUCCUGAGUAACUGGGACCACAGAAGGUCCCUGCUUCCCUUUCACCUUCUGCCAUGAUAGUAAGUUUCCUGAGGCCUCCCCAGCCAUGCAGAACUAGACAGGAUCUCCCUGUGUUGCCUAGGCUAGUCUUGAACUCCUGGACACAAGUGAUCCUCACACCUUGGCCUUCCAAGUGCUGAGAUUAUAGGCAUGAGCCACAGUGCCUAGCCAACAACUCUUAGAGGAACAGGAUUUCACCAGUCACCCAGACUCGCCUCGAACUCCUGACCUCAAGGGAUCCGCCUGCCUUGGCCUCACAAAGUGCUGGAAUUACAGGAGUAUUCAUCAUCAUAUUCUGUAUUAGUCCAUUUUCAUCCUGCUGAUAAAGACAUAACCGAAACUGGGUAUUUAUAAAGAAAAAGAGGUUUAAUAGACACACAGUUCCACGUGGCUGGGGAGGCCUCACAAUCAUGGCAGAAGGCACUUCUUACGUGGUGACGACAAGAGAGAAUUUGUGAAGGGAAACUCCCCCUUAUAAAACCAUCAGAUCUCGUGAGACUCACUACCAGGAGAACAGCAUGGAAAAGACCCACCCCCAUGAUUCAAUUACCUCGCACUAGUUCCUUCCCAAGACAUGUGGGAACUGUGGGAGCUACAUUCAAGAUGAGAUUUGGGUGAGGACACAGCCAAAUCAUAUCAAAUUCCAUGCUUCAACAAUGUUGUUGGAACAAAAGGGAUUUGUCUGAAGGUUCAGCCAUCCAUAUAUUCUUGUAACUUUUGGACACCCUCAAAAAUAUAUAUCUGAACCAGAUCUCCAGAGAUGUGCAAACUGAGACCCAAUUGACACAUUUACCUUUGCUAAAUUUCUAGGCCAUUGGCAUUAAGGGAUGUCAUCACAAGCAUCAGCCUCAUGGGAUCUGGAGAAGGAAGAGGAGGGCGAUAGCCGAAAUGAUGGCCACUGGCUCAUUGUAGCUUUAAAUGAUCUACUCUACAGGUUUUUGGAAGUCACCUUUAUCAUAUAUAUUUGGAAAAUCAUCUGUGUCAUCAGGUUGGGUUGGCAAGAACAUUGGAGUUCUCAGGAAUUGAAAACAUAAUGACUCCCUUUGACUAAUUUAUUUUCUUUAACAUUAUUCCCGCAAUCACUUGACUUUCUAUCCUAUUUUUCAGUGAUUUUACUUUGAAAUAUGACGGGUAAUGAGCUGUAAAAUAAUGAGAUAUCAUCUUCUCUGUCCUACAUUUAAAUUUGGAAUUUCUAUAUCUGAACAAGUAUGUUUAGAGUCAGUAUUAAAGAACAUCCAUUUUUAGAAAGAAUUUGAAACAACUCUAUGAAGGGAUAAAACAUACUAUUGUGUCUUAAAAGGCUAGGCUUCAGAGACAGGUGAAGUUUGUUAAUUGUGUUAUCCUGAGAGUUAUUUGAACACUCUGGGCCCUAGCUCUCUCAUCAUAGGAAUAAUAACACCUGCCUUGUAUGAGUCUGUGAGGAUUAAAUAAAACUGUAUUUAUAUAAAGACCUUAACACUGAGCUUGGCACAUAAUUCUUACCCUCAUACUACACUACCCUGAUUAUUGCAGCUUUCUGGUUGUUUUUCAAACCAGGUAAUAAAAGUUCUCCAAGUUUGUUACUCUUAUUCAAAUUUAUCUAGGCUAUUCUAGGAUCUUUGCAUUUCCAUAUAAAUUUUAUAAUUGGUUUGAUGAUAUCUAC